rnacentral:lncRNA from 13 species
AUUACUGCAAACCCCUAAACUAGAGCAGCAAUACACAAACAUUUCCGUCAUUAAGAGCACUUCAGGUUUGAUCAUCAGCUCAGGCAAUUUCACCUUAUGAUCAAGGAGGUCAAAAUUAGUCUGUAGAGCCAUGAAUUUAUCAAGCAGCACCUGGCUGUGGUGCUGUGUGUCUCAGGUGAGGUGGGGGCCAGACCCUGGAAAGAAAGGGAGGGGCCACACGAGCAGGACUGAGCUCAUGUGGGGCUCAUAAGGAAGGUUGCUGUGGUGGGAAGGAAGGAAGGAAUUCGGAAGGAAUUCGGAAGGACUUCGGAAGGAAGGAAGGAAUUCGGAAGGAAUUCGGAAGGAAGGAAGGGAAAGGAAGGAAAAGGAGAGGAAGGAAAAGGAGGAAAAGGAAAGGAAGGAAAAGGAGGAAAAGGAAAGGAAGGAAAAGAAGGAAAAGGAAAGGAAGCAAAAGAAGGAAAGGAAGGAAGGCAAGGGAGGAAGGAAGUUGCCAUGUGCUCUCACAGGCUGGCUGUGAGGGCUGGGGGAAGCAAACCAGCCUCUAGAUCUGCUCUGGAGUGUUUGUUUCUGACCUGUUGCCUUCAUGUUGUCGUCGUUUGCUGCUAAUUACUCUCUUCGUGCUUCUGGGAGCUGCUGUGUGGGCUUGGCAGAGGCGGCAGACUCAAUGUUCGUGCGUUAUGGGUUAUGUGGUGCCAGCCAUGCCGGGGGGAACUGUGGUUGUAGAAGAAAACUUUUUGAUAUUUUUUUCCCUAAACACCACUUUACUGGUUUAUGAAUAAUUGGAAAAAGAAUUUGUGCUUGAACUUUUCUACUGUUGCCUCUCUGUGAAUGAAUCCAAGCUGCAGCCCUGCUGGACACCUGCCAAGGAUCCUGAUUCUCAUCUCGGUAAACUGACAUUUCUUCAUGGCAAUGAAUUCCUUCAUUGCUGUCUUCCAUGUUCUGAAUCUGCCAGCAGCAGUGAUGGAGGGAUGCUGGAUGAAGUGAUUCCACUGGAGAAGGGCUCUGUGCUUUGCACAAGCUCAGGGCAAUUCCUGCAGCCUUGUUUACAUCUGGCUUUGUUUCUGGCUCCUUGUUCUUGUCUCGCUCAUGGCUCCCUCCAUCAAACCAUCUCCUUCCGUCAGACAUCGCACCUGCUCUCCUUGCUCUUCAUCAGCAUUAAUGAAACGCCCACCACUACUCCAUUCCUUUGGGCUUUAUUCUUCUUGUCCAUGUAG